UACAGAGGGUGCGAGCGUUAAUCGGAAUUACUGGGCGUAAAGCGUGCGUAGACGGUUAUUUAAGUCGGGUGUGAAAGCCCCGGGCUCAACCUGGGAAUUGCAUUCGAGACUGAAUAGCUAGGGUACGGUAGAGGGAAGUGGAAUUUCCGGUGUAGCGGUGAAAUGCGUAGAUAUCGGAAGGAACAUCAGUGGCGAAGGCGACAUCCUGGACCGGUAUUGACGCUGAGGCGCGAAAGCCAGGGGAGCAAACGGG
rnacentral:rRNA from 1 species